rnacentral:ncRNA from 1 species
AGUCUAACGAUGACCUGGUAAGUACUUUUUAAUUAUCUUCAACAGAGAACCUUGGUAGCUGAAAAAAGGUAAGAUAAGAAAAUUGGAAAAUGGCCAGCGAGUUACUUAUCCCGAGCAACUUAGUUAGUUGUGAGGCGGUAACGGUCGCAACCGUUAAUGUGCUAGAGUAUGAUGGUACUCGAAGAGGAGUGAUAGGUAACUAUUACUCAAAAUUGAGGUGGUAACACGCAAAAGCGUCCUCAAG